AUGCAGAUCUAAACAAAGCAACAGUAGAUGAAAACCAGGAUUAAGGAAGAUCAGUUAAUGGCAAGGCAUGGGUCAUCAAAUAAUCAAAAGAUAUAACAUUGCCCAUGCAUCAGUGAGCUGAUCAUAUAUUUGACAAAUCAAUGUUUCCGUAUGAUAUGGAUUGGCAAAUAAGAAACCAAUCAGCAGAACAUCAAUUUCUUAAAAGCAUUUGGGGGUAAAAAAAUUCCAGAUAUUGGUUAUUCAGGCAUUUCGUUGGACAACCGAUUGCCACAAUUGCCUUUAACUCAAGAACAUGUCGAGGUGUUUGAAUGCUUAGGUGUGUUACAAUAUUCCUUCGUGU